CACUAACGACCAACACUUUUUCACUGUCCGACGAUUGUUGAGAUUUCCGAUCUGGAUUGAAAAGAUCGUAAUCCAGGGCGAGAUUGUUCGAACUGCCAUAGCUUGAUGACGACUGCUUCUAAAAAAUAUACAAUAAUUUGACAUACCUUGAGUACAUCCAAACCUUGAGAAGGCGUUCGACCUCUCCCUGUCUUCGUCGCUCGUGCUCUGUCUGGACUUCCGGCUCGGCUUAAGGUAACCACGACGCCAUUAAUUUCUCCUCGAGACGCUUUCCAUCGCGAUGCUCACCUGUAUAAGUCUGCGUGCUUCUCCUCGCCUGUCUGGCUCUGCUCGUGAUCGCCUACCAACGGCAAGAAAGCGUGAUGCAGCUCUCCCGAUUGCAUGC